AGCUACAGGCUUAACACAUGCAAGUCGAGGGGCAUCAGGAAGAAAGCUUGCUUUCUUUGCUGACGACCGGCGCACGGGCGAGUAACACGUAUCCAACCUGCCCUUUACUCGGGGAUAGCCUUUCGAAAGAAAGAUUAAUACCCGAUAGCAUAAUGAUUCCGCAUGGUUUCAUUAUUAAAGGAUUCCGGUAAAGGAUGGGGAUGCGUCCCAUUAGGUUGUUGGUGAGGUAACGGCCCACCAAGCCUUCGAUGGAUAGGGGUUCUGAGAGGAAGGUCCCCCACAUUGGAACUGAGACACGGUCCAAACUCCUACGGGAGGCAGCAGUGAGGAAUAUUGGUCAAUGGGCGCUAGCCUGAACCAGCCAAGUAGCGUGAAGGAUGAAGGCUCUAUGGGUCGUAAACUUCUUUUAUAUAAGAAUAAAGUGCAGUAUGUAUACUGUUUUGUAUGUAUUAUAUGAAUAAGGAUCGGCUAACUCCGUGCCAGCAGCCGCGGUAAUACGGAGGAUCCGAGCGUUAUCCGGAUUUAUUGGGUUUAAAGGGAGCGUAGGUGGACUGGUAAGUCAGUUGUGAAAGUUUGCGGCUCAACCGUAAAAUUGCAGUUGAUACUGUCAGUCUUGAGUACAGUAGAGGUGGGCGGAAUUCGUGGUGUAGCGGUGAAAUGCUUAGAUAUCACGAAGAACUCCGAUUGCGAAGGCAGCUCACUGGACUGCAACUGACACUGAUGCUCGAAAGUGUGGGUAUCAAACAGGAUUAGAUACCCUGGUAGUCCACACAGUAAACGAUGAAUACUCGCUGUUUGCGAUAUACAGUAAGCGGCCAAGCGAAAGCAUUAAGUAUUCCACCUGGGGAGUACGCCGGCAACGGUGAAACUCAAAGGAAUUGACGGGGGCCCGCACAAGCGGAGGAACAUGUGGUUUAAUUCGAUGAUACGCGAGGAACCUUACCCGGGCUUAAAUUGCAGUGGAAUGAUGUGGAAACAUGUUAGUGAGCAAUCACCGCUGUGAAGGUGCUGCAUGGUUGUCGUCAGCUCGUGCCGUGAGGUGUCGGCUUAAGUGCCAUAACGAGCGCAACCCUUAUCUUUAGUUACUAACAGGUUAUGCUGAGGACUCUAGAGAGACUGCCGUCGUAAGAUGUGAGGAAGGUGGGGAUGACGUCAAAUCAGCACGGCCCUUACGUCCGGGGCUACACACGUGUUACAAUGGGGGGUACAGAAGGCAGCUAGCGGGUGACCGUAUGCUAAUCCCAAAAUCCUCUCUCAGUUCGGAUCGAAGUCUGCAACCCGACUUCGUGAAGCUGGAUUCGCUAGUAAUCGCGCAUCAGCCACGGCGCGGUGAAUACGUUCCCGGGCCUUGUACACACCGCCCGUCAAGCCAUGGGAGCCGGGGGUACCUGAAGUACGUAACCGCAAGGAUCGUCCUAGGGUAAAACUGGUGACUGG
rnacentral:rRNA from 1 species